rnacentral:rRNA from 1 species
AGUGAACGCUGGCGGUAGGCCUAACACAUGCAAGUCGAACGGCAGCACAGUAAGAGCUUGCUCUUACGGGUGGCGAGUGGCGGACGGGUGAGGAAUACAUCGGAAUCUACUUUUUCGUGGGGGAUAACGUAGGGAAACUUACGCUAAUACCGCAUACGACCUACGGGUGAAAGCAGGGGAUCUUCGGACCUUGCGCGAUUGAAUGAGCCGAUGUCGGAUUAGCUAGUUGGCGGGGUAAAGGCCCACCAAGGCGACGAUCCGUAGCUGGUCUGAGAGGAUGAUCGGCCACACUGGAACUGAGACACGGUCCAGACUCCUACGGGAGGCAGCAGUGGGGGAUAUUGGACAAUGGGCGCAAGCCUGAUCCAGCCAUACCGCGUGGGUGAAGAAGGCCUUCGGGUUGUAAAGCCCUUUUGUUGGGAAAGAAAAGCAGCAGGUUAAUACCCCGCUGUUCUGACGGUACCCAAUGAAUAAGCACCGGCUAACUUCGUG